GCUAGUAAUCGCAGAUCAGCAUGCUGCGGUGAAUACGUUCCCGGGCCUUGUACACACCGCCCGUCACACCGUGGGAGUCGGUAACACCCAAAGUUGGUAGCCUAACCGCAAGGAGGGCGCCGCCUAAGGUGGGAUUGAUGACUGGGGUGAAGUCGUAACAAGGUAUC
rnacentral:rRNA from 1 species